rnacentral:rRNA from 1 species
GACGAACGCUGGCGGCGUGCUUAACACAUGCAAGUCGAACGGAAAGGCCCUGCUUUUGUGGGGUGCUCGAGUGGCGAACGGGUGAGUAACACGUGAGUAACCUGCCCUUGACUUUGGGAUAACUUCAGGAAACUGGGGCUAAUACCGGAUAGGAGCUCCUGCUGCAUGGUGGGGGUUGGAAAGUUUCGGCGGUUGGGGAUGGACUCGCGGCUUAUCAGCUUGUUGGUGGGGUAGUGGCUUACCAAGGCUUUGACGGGUAGCCGGCCUGAGAGGGUGACCGGCCACAUUGGGACUGAGAUACGGCCCAGACUCCUACGGGAGGCAGCAGUGGGGAAUAUUGCACAAUGGGCGGAAGCCUGAUGCAGCAACGCCGCGUGCGGGAUGACGGCCUUCGGGUUGUAAACCGCUUUCGCCUGUGACGAAGCGUGAGUGACGGUAAUGGGUAAAGAAGCACCGGCUAACUACGUGCCAGCAGCCGCGGUGAUACGUAGGGUGCGAGCGUUGUCCGGAUUUAUUGGGCGUAAAGGGCUCGUAGGUGGUUGAUCGCGUCGGAAGUGUAAUCUUGGGGCUUAACCCUGAGCGUGCUUUCGAUACGGGUUGACUUGAGGAAGGUAGGGGAGAAUGGAAUUCCUGGUGGAGCGGUGGAAUGCGCAGAUAUCAGGAGGAACACCAGUGGCGAAGGCGGUCCUCUGGGCCUUUCCUGACGCUGAGGAGCGAAAGCGUGGGGAGCGAACAGGCUUAGAUACCCUGGUAGUCCACGCUGUAAACGGUGGGUACUAGGUGUGGGGUCCAUUCCACGGGUUCCGUGCCGUAGCUAACGCUUUAAGUACCCCGCCUGGGGAGUACGGCCGCAAGGCUAAAACUCAAAGGAAUUGACGGGGCCCCGCACAAGCGGCGGAGCAUGCGGAUUAAUUCGAUGCAACGCGUAGAACCUUACCUGGGUUUGACAUGGAUCGGGAGCGCUCAGAGAUGGGUGUGCCUCUUUUGGGGUCGGUUCACAGGUGGUGCAUGGCUGUCGUCAGCUCGUGUCGUGAGAUGUUGGGUUGAGUCCCGCAACGAGCGCAACCCUUGUUCACUGUUGCCAGCACGUUAUGGUGGGGACUCAGUGGAGACCGCCGGGGUCAACUCGGAGGAAGGUGGGGAUGACGUCAAGUCAUCAUGCCCCUUAUGUCCAGGGCUUCACGCAUGCUACAAUGGCUGGUACAGAGAGUGGCGAGCCUGUGAGGGUGAGCGAAUCUCGGAAAGCCGGUCUCAGUUCGGAUUGGGGUCUGCAACUCGACCUCAUGAAGUCGGAGUCGCUAGUAAUCGCAGAUCAGCAACGCUGCGGUGAAUACGUUCCCGGG